rnacentral:tRNA from 1 species
AUAUAUAAGUGUAUUAAGCACAAAAAUUUUUGAAAUUUUUAGAAAUAAUUUAUUUUAUUAUAUAUAU